rnacentral:lncRNA from 1 species
ACAGGAAGGGGCACUCAGGACGGGGCAGGGAAGGUGUGGGGGGCAGUCGCCACCUGGGUAGGAAGCAGUGGUGUUUUGGACAGCAGGGGUUGGUCCUCCAGUGGCGACUGCCCCCCACACCUUCCCUGCCCCGUCCUGAGUGCCCCUUCCUGUCCUAAGCCCCCUGCUCUCUUCUGAGCCCCUUCCCCUGUCCUGAGGACCCUUCCCCAUCCUGAGCCCCCUUCCCUGUCCUAAGCCUGACGCCUGCACCGGGCCCUCCGGCCCUCCCCUGCCCAGGCAGCUGGUGGUGGGCGCUAAUCCUCCUGAGUGCUGGACCUCAUUAAAGUGCAUGGAAAU